AAAAAGAACCUGAAACCGUGUACGUACAAGCAGUGGGAGCACAGGUUUACCUGUGUGACUGCGUACCUUUUGUAUAAUGGGUCAGCGACUUAUAUUCUGUAGCAAGGUUAACCGCAUAGGGGAGCCGGAGGGAAACCGAGUCUUAACCGGGCGUUAAGUUGCAGGGUAUAGACCCGAAACCCGGUGAUCUAGCCAUGGGCAGGUUGAAGGUUGGGUAACACUAACUGGAGGACCGAACCGACUAAUGUUGAAAAAUUAGCGGAUGACCUGUGGCUGGGGGUGAAAGGCCAAUCAAACCGGGAGAUAGCUGGUUCUCCCCGAAAGCUAUUUAGGUAGCGCCUCGUGAAUUCAUCUCCGGGGGUAGAGCACUGUUUCGGCUAGGGGGCCAUCCCGGCUUACCAACCCGAUGCAAACUGCGAAUACCGGAGAAUGUUAUCACGGGAGACACACGGCGGGUGCUAACGUCCGUCGUGAAGAGGGAAACAACCCAGACCGCCAGCUAAGGUCCCAAAGUCAUGGUUAAGUGGGAAACGAUGUGGGAAGGCCCAGACAGCCAGGAUGUUGGCUUAGAAGCAGCCAUCAUUUAAAGAAAGCGUAAUAGCUCACUGGUCGAGUCGGCCUGCGCGGAAGAUGUAACGGGGCUAAACCAUGCACCGAAGCUGCGGCAGCGACGCUGAUGCGUUGUUGGGUAGGGGAGCGUUCUGUAAGCCUGCGAAGGUGGCCUGUGAGGGUUGCUGGAGGUAUCAGAAGUGCGAAUGCUGACAUAAGUAACGAUAAAGCGGGUGAAAAGCCCGCUCGCCGGAAGACCAAGGGUUCCUGUCCAACGUUAAUCGGGGCAGGGUGAGUCGACCCCUAAGGCGAGGCCGAAAGGCGUAGUCGAUGGGAAACGGGUUAAUAUUCCCGUACUUGGUGUUACUGCGAAGGGGGGACGGAGAAGGCUAUGUUGGCCGGGCGACGGUUGUCCCGGUUUAAGCGUGUAGGUGUGUGUUCCAGGUAAAUCCGGUUCACUUUAACACUGAGGCGUGAUGACGAGGCACUACGGUGCUGAAGCAACAAAUGCCCUGCUUCCAGGAAAAGCCUCUAAGCAUCAGGUAACAUCAAAUCGUACCCCAAACCGACACAGGUGGUCAGGUAGAGAAUACCAAGGCGCUUGAGAGAACUCGGGUGAAGGAACUAGGCAAAAUGGUGCCGUAACUUCGGGAGAAGGCACGCUGACACGUAGGUGAAGUGAUUUACUCACGGAGCUGAAGUCAGUCGAAGAUACCAGCUGGCUGCAACUGUUUAUUAAAAACACAGCACUGUGCAAACACGAAAGUGGACGUAUACGGUGUGACGCCUGCCCGGUGCCGGAAGGUUAAUUGAUGGGGUCAGCGCAAGCGAAGCUCCUGAUCGAAGCCCCGGUAAACGGCGGCCGUAACUAUAACGGUCCUAAGGUAGCGAAAUUCCUUGUCGGGUAAGUUCCGACCUGCACGAAUGGCGUAAUGAUGGCCAGGCUGUCUCCACCCGAGACUCAGUGAAAUUGAACUCGCUGUGAAGAUGCAGUGUACCCGCGGCAAGACGGAAAGACCCCGUGAACCUUUACUAUAGCUUGACACUGAACAUUGAGCCUUGAUGUGUAGGAUAGGUGGGAGGCUUUGAAGUGUGGACGCCAGUCUGCAUGGAGCCGACCUUGAAAUACCACCCUUUAAUGUUUGAUGUUCUAACGUGGACCCGUUACCCGGGUUGCGGACAGUGUCUGGUGGGUAGUUUGACUGGGGCGGUCUCCUCCUAAAGAGUAACGGAGGAGCACGAAGGUUGGCUAAUCCUGGUCGGACAUCAGGAGGUUAGUGCAAUGGCAUAAGCCAGCUUGACUGCGAGCGUGACGGCGCGAGCAGGUGCGAAAGCAGGUCAUAGUGAUCCGGUGGUUCUGAAUGGAAGGGCCAUCGCUCAACGGAUAAAAGGUACUCCGGGGAUAACAGGCUGAUACCGCCCAAGAGUUCAUAUCGACGGCGGUGUUUGGCACCUCGAUGUCGGCUCAUCACAUCCUGGGGCUGAAGUAGGUCCCAAGGGUAUGGCUGUUCGCCAUUUAAAGUGGUACGCGAGCUGGGUUUAGAACGUCGUGAGACAGUUCGGUCCCUAUCUGCCGUGGGCGCUGGAGAACUGAGGGGGGCUGCUCCUAGUACGAGAGGACCGGAGUGGACGCAUCACUGGUGUUCGGGUUGUCAUGCCAAUGGCACUGCCCGGUAGCUAAAUGCGGAAGAGAUAAGUGCUGAAAGCAUCUAAGCACGAAACUUGCCCCGAGAUGAGUUCUCCCUGAGACUUU
rnacentral:rRNA from 1 species